GCAGUAGCCACGGUAAUACGGAGGAUCCAAGCGUUAUCCGGAAUCAUUGGGUUUAAAGGGUCCGUAGGCGGUCUUGUAAGUCAGUGGUGAAAGCCCAUCGCUCAACGGUGGAACGGCCAUUGAUACUGCAGGACUUGAAUUAUUGGGAAGUAACUAGAAUAUGUAGUGUAGCGGUGAAAUGCUUAGAGAUUACAUGGAAUACCAAUUGCGAAGGCAGGUUACUACCAAUUGAUUGACGCUGAUGGACGAAAGCGUGGGUAGCGAACAGGAUUAGAUACCCCCGUAGUCCCUGUCUCUUAUAC
rnacentral:rRNA from 1 species